AUGGCAUUGAACCCCCACAGGCCUGUGACAUUCUUUAAUAAGUCUGUGCACCGUGAAGAUGUGCAUCCGCCACCACUGUCACCAUGUGUCCUCAGAAAGCCCUUGAAUCCCCAGCCACUGCUGUACAUCUGGUGGCUUAUUUACGAAGUGCACCCGUAUGGCCUGAGAUCUGACACGUUGGCCUUCUGUGCGCUUGGAUGUCUGGGAGCGAUGGCCUCGGGGCCUGGCUGUUCUUGGCAGCCUGCCAGGUGGUGGUGUUCUUGGAGAGAGGAGUGGCCCAGUGCCCGGCCUCCCGUGGGCACCCCAGGGAUCCCAUCCUGCAGGUGCGGUCUGGAGCCUCUGCCUGCCGAGGUGGCGGGCGGGGAGCCGAGCCCGAAGGGGGAGCCUGGCUGCCACGUUCCUCAUCUGCUGCUUAUGCUGAAUCAUGUUCAUUUUGUCCACAAAGAGAAACCUUCCUUUUUAAAAUCCACCUCUCUCCGACUGGGCUGGGCACAGGCAUUUCCAGUUACAACGAUCCAGAAGGAACCCUGUGCCAGGGCCUGCCUUGCUGGUUUACAAGACCAGAGACACGGCAGCCCCUGUAUGGCCAGCCGCCACAGCAGGGCUUGGAGCUGGGCCAGCUGCCCGGGCUUCAGGUCUGGUGGAGUGGGAGGGCCUGCUUUCUGGAACAAAUGCCCACCUCCUUGGAGAUCACCCAAAUCUGCUUUGUUCUUUGUCUGCGGGGCUCCUAAAAUAGGGUCCAUCUAUGGACACCCACCCCACCUUGCUACCCCUCCUUGUGUGUGCUGGGCCCCACCCCCUUUCUCUGUGCGCUUUUCUCAGGCAGAUGCCGCAGAUCAUGUACUAGACACAGUGGGUUUUCAAGAAAUCCUUAUCAAAUGGAUUUUAAACUUCUUCUCAAGCAUACUUCCCCCAGACUGCUGCCCCUGGUACUCCUCUCAGGAGCCAGCCUGGUCUGGCUCAGACUGCUGGAGCGUUUCCACUCCAAGCAUGGGGCCGGGUUAUCCUUCCAGUAACCCGCAGAGUUGA
rnacentral:lncRNA from 12 species